rnacentral:lncRNA from 1 species
AAAAGACACUAUAGCACAUAACAUGAUCGACAUAAAAUAUUUGCAAGAAAAAAAUUUUGAGCAAAAAAAUUACCAAUCAAAGGAGAUAAAGCUCCCUUCACGGAUGAAUGAAAUCUUUUUGGGCUUUGUGGAUGGCCACUUUGGUACUAUGCAAGAAUAGAGGGUCAGGUUGUCGGUGUUCACUAACCAUCGGAGGAUGGAG